rnacentral:rRNA from 1 species
CAUGCUACAAUGGCCGGUACAGAGGGCUGCAAUACCGCAAGGUGGAGCGAAUCCCAGAAAGCCGGUCUCAGUUCGGAUUGAGGUCUGCAACUCGACCUCAUGAAGUCGGAGUCGCUAGUAAUCGCGAAUCAGCAACGUCGCGGUGAAUACGUUCCCGGGCCUUGUACACACCGCCCGUCAAGUCAUGAAAGUCGGUAACACCCGAAGCCGGUGGCCCAACCUUUUGGAGGGAGCCGUCGAAGGUGGGAUCGGUGAUUAGGACUAAGUCG